AUUGAACGCUGGCGGCAGGCCUAACACAUGCAAGUCGAGCGGUAACACAGGGAGCUUGCUCUCGGGUGACGAGCGGCGGACGGGUGAGUAAUGUCUGGGAAACUGCCUGAUGGAGGGGGAUAACUACUGGAAACGGUAGCUAAUACCGCAUAAUGUCGCAAGACCAAAGAGGGGGACCUUCGGGCCUCUUGCCAUCAGAUGUGCCCAGAUGGGAUUAGCUAGUAGGUGGGGUAACGGCUCACCUAGGCGACGAUCCCUAGCUGGUCUGAGAGGAUGACCAGCCACACUGGAACUGAGACACGGUCCGGACUCCUACGGGAGGCAGCAGUGGGGAAUAUUGCACAAUGGGCGCAAGCCUGAUGCAGCCAUGCCGCGUGUAUGAAGAAGGCCUUCGGGUUGUAAAGUACUUUCAGCGGGGAGGAAGGCGAUAAGGUUAAUAACCUUGUCGAUUGACGUUACCCGCAGAAGAAGCACCGGCUAACUCCGUGCCAGCAGCCGCGGUAAUACGGAGGGUGCAAGCGUUAAUCGGAAUUACUGGGCGUAAAGCGCACGCAGGCGGUCUGUCAAGUCGGAUGUGAAAUCCCCGGGCUCAACCUGGGAACUGCAUUCGAAACUGGCAGGCUAGAGUCUUGUAGAGGGGGUAGAAUUCCAGGUGUAGCGGUGAAAUGCGUAGAGAUCUGGAGGAAUACCGGUGGCGAAGGCGGCCCCCUGGACAAAGACUGACGCUCAGGUGCGAAAGCGUGGGGAGCAAACAGGAUUAGAUACCCUGGUAGUCCACGCCGUAAACGAUGUCGACUUGGAGGUUGUGCCCUUGAGGCGUGGCUUCCGGAGCUAACGCGUUAAGUCGACCGCCUGGGGAGUACGGCCGCAAGGUUAAAACUCAAAUGAAUUGACGGGGGCCCGCACAAGCGGUGGAGCAUGUGGUUUAAUUCGAUGCAACGCGAAGAACCUUACCUACUCUUGACAUCCAGAGAACUUUCCAGAGAUGGAUUGGUGCCUUCGGGAACUCUGAGACAGGUGCUGCAUGGCUGUCGUCAGCUCGUGUUGUGAAAUGUUGGGUUAAGUCCCGCAACGAGCGCAACCCUUAUCCUUUGUUGCCAGCGGUCCGGCCGGGAACUCAAAGGAGACUGCCAGUGAUAAACUGGAGGAAGGUGGGGAUGACGUCAAGUCAUCAUGGCCCUUACGAGUAGGGCUACACACGUGCUACAAUGGCGCAUACAAAGAGAAGCGACCUCGCGAGAGCAAGCGGACCUCAUAAAGUGCGUCGUAGUCCGGAUUGGAGUCUGCAACUCGACUCCAUGAAGUCGGAAUCGCUAGUAAUCGUAGAUCAGAAUGCUACGGUGAAUACGUUCCCGGGCCU
rnacentral:rRNA from 1 species